rnacentral:rRNA from 1 species
UAGGGAAUCUUCCACAAUGGACGCAAGUCUGAUGGAGCAACGCUGCGUGAGUGAAGAAGGUCUUCGGAUCGUAAAACUCUGUUGUUAGAGAAGAACACGAGUGAGAGUAACUGUUCAUUCGAUGACGGUAUCUAACCAGCAAGUCACGGCUAACUACGUGCCCG